rnacentral:lncRNA from 1 species
UUGUUUUAUACAAUAUACAAUGUAUAUUCACUUUUACUACCAACUGAUAAAUUAAAACAAUCUUUACCAUUCAGUGAUAACAAGCACUUUUUUUACAUUUUAAUAUUUUUAUGAUGUAUUUAAAUGAGUAGUUAUUGUUGCAAACUCCAUUAGGAAUUUGAAUUGAGAUCAGUUUUGGAAAAAGGGAAAGGGGGAUGUGAAAAAAAAAUGGGGGGGGGGUUAAAUUUUUCUCAUUUCAGAUUUCAUAAAUAAAAAGAAAAUUUCUUCAAACAUUUUUUUGAGAGGAUUAAUAUUCAACAGCAUAGUGAAUUGCUCAAAGGCAAAAAAAAAUAUUUUAAGUUCAUUAGACCACAUUCAUUCUGUGUCAGAAACCUAUGCUGUGUCAACUAUUUAAUCACAAUCCAAAGUUAGAGCUGAAUCCAGCUUAAAUGUUGUGUCCAUACUUGCCCCAACUGUUCAGGGUUCAACCUCUGCGGUCGUAUAUAGCUGCACCCUGCGGAGCAUCUGGUUAUACUUAGAUUUAUUUGAAUGUUAUUUGUAGUGCUUGCUUUUUUGUGUGAGUUCCUUUAUAUUGUUUGUAUCAAAGUUUUCUGAAUUAUAUUGAUAUUUUUGAAAACUUUCUUUUUUACAAGAUUUUUGUAAGGUCUCAGUGAUCAUAGAGCAGUCUAAGUUAUGAUUUUAAUAAUUAUUUUUCAAAGGAUUUCAAUUUGAAAUUAAGAUUAAGUACAUUAAUUUACACCCAUAUUUGGAAUUUUAUGAAAGUGCAUUUUUUGCAGAUCUUUUUAUGAAAAGUACUGGAUAACAAAAAAUUUAAAUUCGAUCCUCUAGAGAAUGUUUACAGAAAUUCAUUUAGAAUAAAAAAUUGUUAUAAAGUAAGGAGUAGUUAUGAUAUUUUCCCAAAAGAAAUUGUCUUAUAUCUAGAUUUUAUUUGUCAAUUUUGAAUGCUUUGCCAAUAUGUUGUCUUUAUGGAUAUUGCGAUGUAUUUUUAUACAAAUAAUGAGUUCUCUUUCUUUCUUCUUUUGUUUUUUAAAUAUUUUACUUCAUAAUUGCUUUCAAUAAGCUUUAGACUAGACAUAUUAUAUAUAUAUAUAUAUAUAAAAAUUAAGAUAUAAGUAUUACAUGAUGUAAUACCAUUUGUAAGUAUAAGAAAAGUUUAAAAGUAGAAAAGAAUUUUCCUUUGAUCAUUUCAUUUACUAGAAAAGGCUCGGAAUUAGAUUAUCAUUGGGUAAAUAAUUCAUAAAAUACUCAAUCAGGACGUUUGAUAUAACAAAGUUCAGCAAAGAAAGGAGAUUUUUUACUCCUCUCUGAAACUGAUAUGUUAAUCUUCCUCUUUCAUACAGUGCAGUGUCUAUGUAAAAGAAGAAGGUUUACAAAGGCUUAAACUUUUGAAAAAUUGAAAUUAGAGACCAUAUUUUGCCAGAAGUGAACCUUUUCCUUUGAAUUAGAGCUCAUUCAACACAUGAACAAUUGUUAGCUCAACACAAAUAAUUGAUAUUAAAUUGUUUAUAAAAGAUGUUUAAUGUUGAACUUUAUAUCUUACAAAUGCAUUACUUGUUUGGAUCCUCUUUUUGGAGAUUUUUUUUAUUAGUCCUCAAGAAAAUAAUGAAAUUUAUAAAAUUAUUUGGUGGAAAUGUUCUUUGAUAUAACAGAAAACAUUGAUACACAUACAUGAAAUGCAUGGUUUGAAAUUGUCCAGAAGUAUAUGUUGUGUUUAUGUUGUGUCUAAUCAUAACUUAUAUUUAAAGCAAUAUUUAUAUACAGCAGACAGAUAUUGAUAUUGUAAAUUUCCAAGUUGAUGCUGUUAUUAAAUUUACAGUGUUAUUUGUAUUUUUCUCUCACAAAUAUUACUGAAAAUUAAAAGUUUCAAAUUUA